UUAACAUCCAGACUGACAGUCUACCGAGCAAUUUCACCCGCUCAGUGGAAGAUCUUCCCUUUGUCCU
rnacentral:pre_miRNA from 1 species